rnacentral:ncRNA from 1 species
CAACCUCAACUCAUAUGGGACUACCCCCUGAAUUUAAGCAUAUUAAUUAGGGGAGGAAAAGAAACUAACAAGGAUUUUCUUAGUAGCGGCGAGCGAAAAGAAAUCAGUUCAGCACUAAGUCACUUUGUCUAUAUGGCAAAUGUGAGAUGCAGUGUACGGAACAUCAACAUUCUAGUAUGAGAAGUUAACGAUUUAAGUCCUUCUUAAAUGAGGCCAUUUACCCAUAGAGGGUGCCAGGCCCGUAUAACGUUAAUGAUUACUAGAUGGUGUUUCCAAAGAGUCGUGUUGCUUGAUAGUGCAGCACUAAGUGGGUGGUAAACUCCAUCUAAAACUAAAUAUAACCAUGAGACCGAUAGUAAACAAGUACCGUGAGGGAAAGUUGAAAAGAACUCUGAAUAGAGAGUUAAAUAGUACGUGAAACUGCUUAGAGGUUAAGCCCGAUGAACCUGAAUAUCCGUUAUGGAAAAUUCAUCAUUAGAAUUGUAAUAUUUUAAACAAUAUUAUAAUAAUAGUGUGCAUUUUUUCCAUAUAAGGACAUUGUAAUCUAUUAGCAUAAAUAUUUAUCAUAAAAUUAUGUCUGAUUGCUUAUUUGAAUUAUAUGCUUGGCAUUUUAACAUAAAAUAAAAGAUAUAAAUUUGAUAAAGUGCUGAUAGAUUUAUAUGAUUACAGUGCGUUAAUUUUUCGGAAUUAUAUAAUGGCAUAAUUAUCAUUGAUAUUUGUGUUUAUUAUAUGCAUUUGUAUGAUUAACAAUGCGAAAGAAUCCAGGAUCCCUUCGGG